GUCAUGCUUGCAGAAACAGCAUAGAUCUUUUCACAUUUUCUGGAUUUAUUCAUGCCCGUGGAGUUUUUGUGCCCAUCAUAUGUAGAUCUUUUAUUGGUAAGUUUGGAUGUUGUAGACUGAUCCGCUUUGGUAAGUCAUGUUUGCCUGCAGGGUGAUGACGUUUAUGCAUCUAGGGAACCAUGGAGAUUUUACCAUGUGAUAUUUCCUCAAGCAAACUAAGUUAUUUUGCAAUUUGCUGCUCAAGUUGUGGCUCUUCUGCAGGUAUGUCAUUGUGGUCCUUUCCACUAUAUUUAUUUGACGUAUAUGCUUCCAGACAAUAACUUAGGUUUUGUACUACAUGGUAAAUGAAAUGAAAUUUCUAAUAUGCUAGAACGUACAAUGGUAAUUGUUAGUUUCAUUAGUAUUUCUCGGCAAACCCUUGUUCUUUCUUGGUCUGCUGAAAAUAAUUGUUAUCAGUUUUUCUUUACAUUGUCUAUAGAGAAAGUGAUGUUUUUAAGAGAUAUUUCUGUAACAUGAGCAAUGGUGCUUACUUCUUAUAUCCCAUAUAUUGUUGAAUUAUGUGCUUAUGAGGAAAAACGGUCAUGGCGGUCCUGCACAAGUGGAUGAAUGACUGGAAGGGGCGGCACCACGACGGUUAAGGUGGUUUAUACCCAGCCAGGGAGGACGACCCCCUGCAAUGGGCACGGAAAAAUGUUGCAGCAGCGAACGAGGAGGCGGAGAUGCGCAAAGCAGAGUAGGAAAAACGUGCUCUGGUCCUCCUCCAAGCCCGUCGGUGACUCCCUAACAUGGUACGAGAUUGUUACCCCCUGCCGCGUCAUCAUUACUUGAAGUACAAGGAACCUGACAACAGUGUGAGUGCAUUAUUUCUGUUAUAUCUAUAGUGCUUCUCUAUCUUUGAUCAUACAUAUGCAACAGCCAGAUAAUCUUAAGAAAAGGGCAGGAGAACUGCCUAUUCAUGAAGCUGAGAUUGGUUAAAAUUUAUAGUGCGUCUCUGAAUUUAAAGGAACAAGGCCUAUAACCCAACAAGCCAAAGAAACUACUUGUCCUCAAUUGCUCUGCUUGCCUACAUAAUAAUAGGCCCUAAAGUUAAUCUCUUGCCAAGCUAAAUGACCAACAUGUUCACCUGGAGACCUCCCUGUAAAUGACUGUAUCAACUAGACAGCAGAACAAGGAAGUAGGAAGAAGGCAAUAAGCAAUUCAUAUGGAUUAUCCCUGAAUGUUAUCCUGGAGUCUGAUGUACAUAAUUUUUUUAUUGCUUAAUUAAAUGGCAGAGCUCCGGCCUUUUUCUGCCAAAAAAGACAUGGCCAUUCCCUUGAGUAGUUGCAUAAAAAACAUGGACAAACAUGAGAGAAGAAAAUAGAAAAUAUUGUUAAGCUUUGUUUGUUAUUAGUUGCAUAAUGAAGAUUGAAAUUUGAUAGUUCGCUUCCUCUCAAUGUCUCCAUCUUACUAUCUUUGUUUGCAAAGUUAAAUAAACCUGUGUCACUUUGAGGCUACAAUUAGUGACGAUGCCUGACCUACAUGAUUAGCAUACAAAAUAAGAAAAUGGAAUGGUUUGUUACCCUUUUGAUUUCUCUGUGGAUCAAUGGUUACUUUGCAUUCAAUUUGGACCCAUUAAAAAAUCAUUUUGCAAAAUACCAUGUGGGAUAACUUAGCUGUUGAAAAUUUGCAUGCAUAUGAUUUUUAGUAGAGUUAUACAAGUUGUUACAUAAAUGUUAAUUGCCAUUUAGAUGUAACCAAUCACGAGGACUAGGAUGUUGAGGAAGAUGGUGAAUGGGCAGCUCCAACCAUAUGCAAAAGGAACAAUUUCAAAUCCUAAGUGCAAGGACCAUGUACGCAAAAGGUAUAACUGCAAUUGUACGACUAGAAUGGUAACUGUUCUAGACAAGCGAACACAAACAUUGUUGAAGUUGCACGUAUGUGUAAAUUUUUGUGUUGGGAAAACAUUCAGAUUGGAGGUGAACGAGGAUGACUCAAGCAUUACAAAGAACAGUUGGUAAACAAUGUACCGGUAUCAGCUGACCUUAUGUAUAUUGCGGUGUCAGUGCCAUACUUCUGUACAUAAAACGAUGGAACCGGCAUCAAUCACGUGAACGGGCAUGUUGAUUUAGUUUUCCUGUCUACGUGCCUUGAGCAUUUCUUCCUCUAUACCAGGCAAUGAUUGAGGAUUCACGGAUAUAUUGAGAUCAACUUUUCGAUGCAAUUUGGAUGAUCAAAUCACACCACUAUCUGAGCAUAUAUAAGAUGUUCGCAUAGUAAGUUUUAAUGUAUGAUUGUUUUCAUAUACCCUUUUACUUUUUAAUCCAGUUCAGGUGAAAAAUAUUGUUUAGAUGAUUGUGAAAAUGCAGGCUACAUUUUUAAAUGUUCAUAAGGUUUGUGAACAUACAAUUUACUACAUGAAGGAUGUGCCUGGCUUCCAUGUUGAAGUAGUAGGACUAUUUCCACAUAUGCGAGAGAAGAACUAUGAUCGGGUAAACUGAACCGCACUGGUGCUAAUUUUAUCCUUUGUUUAUUGUAUCCAAAAUAUGAAUUCUGUUGGUUGCAUCAUUUCUUUUGACAGAAUCAUUCUCGUGUAAUUUGUGCAGAGGUACUAUGUAUGCUUGAUCCAAUUUAGACAUCAACAAUUAUGUAUCUAAAAGCUGGAGUGCUCCUUGAACAUUGUACUGUAUAUAUGAUUGAAAUGAGUUGCAUGUUGUCGGUGACGGCGAGUUGAACCAAUGGAAGUGGUUGUAAUGGUAAGAUAGAGAAGAUGGCCGUGGGAGAAAAAGAGGACGGCAGUAAUGGUAAAGAAGAGAAGAUCAUUGAUGUAAAAGGAGGACAUGUGUUGGACCUAGCAUGUCUAAAUACAAGCAUGUGGUCAUAAGUAUUUUCUUUUCCUUACAAACGAGAGUUGGUUAUUUGGCUUCACAACCUCCAUAUUUCAAUUUGGCAUGCAACGACAUGUACAUGCAUGUUUUGUCCUCAGGUGAAGACUUUAAUUGGUUAGUCUAUUAGUCUAUUUUUUCAAACGGAGGCAAAAGAUU
rnacentral:lncRNA from 1 species